CAGUUAUUUGUUUAAAAAUGCCUUAGUAAGUUACAUAGUAUGUGUUACUGCUGUUCUCUCCUUCUUCCCUUUUUUCCCCUAGUCUCAGCACGUUUUCACCCACUCACCACCGCUCAACUCUGUUUCCACAGUCAUGAGACCCAGUCUCCUUCCACCAUUGUCACGGUGAUAGCGGAAAAGAAUGGCCUUCAGGCCAAAGAUGGUGGAUAAAUGAAGGUAGUUCACUCAGGCCAUUUACCACUGUCUGCUGAAGGGGGGGGGGUGUGUUCUCCAUAGACACCAAUGCGAUAGCUGUCUGCUUAGUCCUUGACUGCCAUUGAAACAGAACCUCUGAGGGAGUGGAACAUCUCGCUUCCUCUUCCGUCUCUGCUUGAGACUCCAGAAUGCUGAGUCACAAUGACAAGGCAGUAAUACAGCCAGGGCAGAGCCUUAGUCAUUCCAUACUGUAGUAGAACCAACAGGAGGUUAUGACAGGAGGACUGGGAAGGAGGGAGGGAAAUAAGAAUAGAGGGGGAGGGGGAAAGAGUACAGACUAAAAACGCUGUGUCACCCUUCAGAACUUCAAACGAAAGAGUUCUGUAACGAUGAAUCAUUUACAGUGUUACUAUCACUUCUGUUUAUAACUUUAACAAGAACAUUCUUAGUUUUUACGGUAAAAUUGUAAUGCUAAGAGAUGGAUAAAAAUGUACAGGGAGGGUACCUGGAGGAAAAUGGGAGAGGGUCAUGCCUUUUCAAUUUCAGUCAAGGGGAGGGUUUAGUAUUUUUUUUAAAUCUAGUCCAGGGGAGGGUCAUGUAGUUUGUAAUGAAAGAAAUGUCAAUAUUUCUCAGUGUUUUAGAAUUCGUUGCUUAUUAGGCUAUAUAUCGAUGUAUGCCUGAUUCCACCCGGUUCUCUGCUGGAAAUGCAAUAUGAAGUGUGCCUAUAGGCUAUUUAGCGUGGUCUCAAUCAAAUGAUUCAUAGCCCCCACAGCCACAACUGAAACCACUGAGCUGCCUUACUCAAGAAAGCAAAAAAGAGACCAUGUUGUAUGCGUCUUUAUUAACUCAUUUAGUUAUUUUUUUGUACAUUGUUUGCAAACUGAUAUGUGACACGUAUUAAUGCCAAAAUACCAUGCAAUACACGUGAGGCUCAAACAAAGCAAUACAUGAUUAACAAAGCUGCCCUGAUUGACAGGUCGUCAUUGGAUAAGAUCAACACAUAGGCCUAUCUCUACGUCCAUUCUUAGCCUGUAAUUUGAGCAAUUUGUGUACUAUUAAAAAAUAUUUUCAUGAAAUGUUUAUAAAGGCACAUUUUCCUCGGACCUGCAAAUACAUUGAUAGAUUCAUGCAAUGCUUUUACUAUAAAUUAGAUCUUUCCACCCUUACUCUUGUCCAUAGUGGUCUGUGAACACACAACCUUCUGGCCCGCAGCAAUGUGCGCUAUUAAAAUUCCUGCGUUGCCAUGUAAUGCUGACAGGAUGAAGAACAGUUUCUAAAACGACAUAUCUAAGGCUCUGGUGUCUCCAAGAGGUGAGGGUAAACUGUAAGGAUGUUCUCUGUAUACACUUUGUUUUAAUAAUUUUUGGGGGGUAUAUGGGAGUGUCACUUGUUUUUUCUCAAGAGUUCAGGGAAGGUUUAGGUAAAAAAUAAAUUGCUGAAGGUAGUGACAUCCAUUUUCAUUUCAGAGAUGUCCGAUUUUCUCUAUGUGUGUAAGCCUUAUUAUGAAUAACGUUUACUCCUGAAGUUGGCCCUUCUGCUUAAACAAGGUCACUUUGAAUGAGUGAGGGUUGCAGCUGACUAGCAACAGUUCAUAAGGGUUGCUGCUGACUAACAACAGUUCAUAAGGGUUUCUGCUGACUAACAACAUUUCAUAAGGGUUGCAGCUGAUGAACAACAGUUCAUAAGGGUUGCUGCUGACUAACAACAGUUCAUAAGGGUUGCUGCUGACUGACAACAGUUCAUAAGGGUUGCAGCUGACUAACAACAGUUCACAAGGGUUGCAGCUGACUAACAACAGUUCAUAAGGGUUGCAGCUGACUAGCAACAGUUCAUAAUGGUUGCUGCUGACUAACAACAGUUCAUAAGGGUUGCUGCUGACUAGCAACAGUUCAUAAGGGUUGCUGCUGACUAUCAACAGUUCAUAAUGGUUGCUGCUGACUGACAAUUCAUAAGGGUUGCAGCUGACUAACAACAGUUCAUAAGGUUUGCAGCUGACUAACAACAGUUCAUAAGGGUUGCAGCUGACUAACAACAGUUCAUAAUGGUUGCUGCUGACUAACAACAGUUCAUAAGGGUUGCUGUUGACUAGCAACAGUUCAUAAGGGUUGCUGCUGACUAACAACCGUUCAUAAGGGUUGCUGCUGACUAGCAACAGUUGAGAUGACAGCAAUUACAAGAACAUUUGUCCUUUUUUGAUGCUAUGAAAAUGACUCAAAAUCUCAAUUCUCCUGAUCUGAACCAUGGAAUCUGUCACGUCCUGACCAGUAUAGAGGACAUUUUGUUAUUGUAGUUUGGUCAGGACGUGGCAGAGGGUAGUUUAUUUAUGUAUUACGGGGUUUUUUGGUCACUGGUUUAUGUUUGUAUUUCUAUGGGUAUGUUCUAGGUUAGUUUUCUAUGUGUAGGUUGGGUGCUGGACUCUCAAUUGGAGGCAGGUGUUUCUAGUUGAUUGGGAGUCCUAUAAGUAGGUGUGUGUUUUGUUUGUUCACUUGUGGGUAGUUGUUUGAGAGCACUGCUUCUGUUGAGCCUGCUGCUCUGUACCUGUCAGUAGUUUGUUUAUUGUAUUUCUGUGGUGUUCACAUUUUGAUUAAUGAAUAUGUUGAGCAUGCAACCCGCUGCACUUUGGUCCCAUUCUCUCUUCAUUGACAGUUGUGACAGAAUCUCUCCUGGCCCAUAGACUAGGCCUACUGUCAGGGUAAGGAUUUAUAGCUAGGCCUAUAUGCUUUGGUUUAAAACAACAAUAAACAACAAACUAAGCAUGACACAUCAUUUAGUCAAAAAGUGAUGUCACUUAUCGCAAAGAAAAGGAAUGCUAGGUAUGUCACAGGCCUUUUGCAACACCGGUUUAAGCAUACAGUAAGACUGUUACUCCCAAAAGUCUGAAGGGGCUUCGUCUCAUUGUCUCAAAACUUUGCUUGCACUCAUAAUGAAAACAUUAGGAUAUAAAGUUAGGCUCAAUCUAAGAGUUGGUCAAAGCAACAGAGAGCAGAGCACACACUUCAAGGGCUAUCUAUGUACAAAGACCCUUUCCCCCAUUUGAAGCAUCGUUAUAAUUUUUAAACUAACAAUAAACCUAGAUUUCUCUACACUCGCCAGCUAAAACUGGCGAGUGUAGAGAGUAUAGAGAUAUUGUUAUCCAUGUCGGCACCAACGAUGUUAGG
rnacentral:lncRNA from 1 species